rnacentral:rRNA from 1 species
AGAGUUUGAUCCUGGCUCGGGAGGAACGCUGGCGGCGUGCCUAAUACAUGCAAGUCGAGCGCGGGAAGCAAGCUGAUCCUCUUCGGAGGUGACGCUUGUAGAACGAGCGGCGGACGGGUGAGUAACACGUGGGCAACCUGCCUGUAAGACUGGGAUAACCCCGGGAAACAGGGGCUAAAACCGGAUGAUACUUUUCAUCACCUGAUGGAAAGUUGAAAGGUGGCUUCUUGCUACCACUUGCAGAUGGGCCCGCGGCGCAUUAGCUAGUUGGUGAGGUAACGGCUCACCAAGGCAACGAUGCGUAGCCGAACUGAGAGGGUGAUCGGCCACACUGGGACUGAGACACGGCCCAGACUCCUACGGGAGGCAGCGGUAGGGAGUCUUCCGCGAUGGACGAAAGUCUGACGGAGCAACGCCGCGUGAGUGAUGAAGGUUUUCGGAUCGUAAAGAUCUGUUGUUAGGGAAGAACAAGUGCCGUUCGAAUAGGGCGGCACCUUGACGGUACCUAACCAGAAAGCCGCGGCUAACUACGUGCCAGCAGCCGCGGUAAUACGUAGGGGGCAAGCGUUGUCCGGGAAUUAUUGGGCGUAAAGCGCGCGCAGGCGGUCCUUUAAGUCUGAUGUGAAAGCCCACGGCUUAACCGUGGAGGGUCAUUGGAAGCUGGAGGACUUGAGUACAGAAGAGGAGAGUGGAAUUCCACGUGUAGCGGUGAAAUGCGUAGAGAUGUGGAGGAACACCAGUGGCGAAGGCGACUCUCUGGUCAGUAACUGACGCUGAGGCGCGAAAGCGUGGGGAGCGAGCAGGAUUAGAUACCCUGGUAGUCCACGCCGUAAACGAUGAGUGCUAGGUGUUAGGGGGUUUCCGCCCCUAAGUGCUGAAGUUAACGCAUUAAGCACUCCGCCUGGGGAGUACGGCCGCAAGGCUGAAACUCAAAAGAAUAGACGGGGGCCCGCACAAGCGGUGGAGCAUGUGGUUUAAUUCGACGCAACGCGAAGAACCUUACCAGGUCGUGACAUCCUCUGCAAUCGGUAGAGAUACCGAGUUCCCUUCGGGGACAGAGUGACAGGUGGUGCAUGGUUAUCGUCAGCUCGUGUCGUGAGAUGUUGGGUUAAGUCCCGCAACGAGCGCAACCCUUGAUCUUAGUUGCCAACAUUUAGUUGGGCACUCUAAGGUGACUGCCGGUGACAAACCGGAGGAAGGUGGGGAUGACGUCAAAUCAACAUGCCCCUUAUGACCUGGGCUACACACGUGCUACAAUGGAUGGAACAAAGGGAAGCAAAACCGCGAGGACAAGCAAAUCCCAUAAAACCAUUCUCAGUUCGGAUUGCAGGCUGCAACUCGCCUGCAUGAAGCCGGAAUAGCUAGUAAUCGCGGAUCAGCAUGCCGCGGUGAAUACGUUCCCGGGCCUUGUACACACCGCCCGUCACACAACGAGAGUUGGUAACACCCGAAGUCGGUGAGGUAACCAUUUGGAGCCAGCCGCCGAAGGUGGGACCAAUAAUUGGGGUGAAGUCGUAACAAGGUAGC